UCGAGGCUUCCGGUCCCACGCCGCAACCCAUACACCGGAUCCACGCAGCCCAGCCGCCGGGCGGCGAAAGAUCUGAGCCGCGACGGGCUCCAACGCCGGCGAGCGCUCGCUCAUCUGGCCUAUAAAAUUCACCCGCCUCCCCCCCCCGGCUUCGCGUCCCUCGGAGUGCCCGAUGACGUGGCGCCCCUCCACGCCUCCGCCACCACCACCUCACUAAGCCGCCCGACACCACCGUACUCCGACCGACGAACCCCCUUUUAGCAGCUUCCAAACCCUAGAAGGGGAGCAGGCGGAGCAGCGCAGAGGGGAGCAUUCGAGGAGCGCCGCGAUGGCCAAGGCGCGGAAGCAGAAGCCGGAAGGGGGCGCCGGCGGAGGCCCCACCGUGCUCCACCAGAAGCUGUGCCUCUCCAUCGACAUGGAGAACCAGCUGAUUUACGGGUACACCGAGAUGAAAGUUCUUCUAGCUGAGAACGAUAGUUUUGCUCUACAUGCUGACAGUAUGACGAUUAGGAACAUAUUGGUGGAUGGUGAGGCUGCUGAGUUUGAGUAUUCUCCUCAUUGGAAAAACGUUGAUGAUCAGUCGAGUUGGUUGUCAGUAUCAUGUUUGAAGACUGCUGCUGAUGCUGCAUGCUCAGCUUACGUCUCUUCUCUAACCAGUGAAGCUGUACCUAAUCUCAUCAUUUCAUCUGAGAGAUCGGUCAAGUCAACCACUGAGCUACCGGGUGAUGAUAAUGGUGAAAAGCAUGAAGGAAUUGGUGGAAAACAUGUUCAAUUUUCUGAUGACAAAGCAGUUAAAAUCUGCAAUGGUUCUGCGGAGGAAAAUGGUAAGGAAGAGGAAAAGGAGAACAAAAAAGAAGAUGCAAAAGACAAUGAGAAGGAAGAGAAAACUGAGAUGGAGGUGGAUACAGAGAAGGCGAAGGAAACUGAAGAGGAGAAGGAGAAAGAGAAGGAAAAGGAGAAAGAGGAGAAGGACGAGGAAAAGGAAAAGGAAGUCAUAAAUGAAAAUGAGAAAGAAAAGGAAAUGCAAAUCGAGAACGAAAAGGUGAAGAACACAAAACUGGUUCGGGUAGAUUAUAUUUUGGAGAAGGCCGAAACUGGCGUUCAUUUUGUCAACAAUGUCUUGCAUAGUAAUAGUCAAAUAAGGCGUGCACACUGUUGGUUCCCUUGCAUUGAUAGUGCCACGCAACGUUGUCCGUUUGACUUGGAGUUUACAGUUAGCACAGAUCUAGUUGCAGUCAGCAAUGGGGACUUGCUUUACCAGGUCUUAAGCAAGGAAGAUCCUCCAAGGAAAACUUAUGUAUACAAAUUGAGCACUCCAGUUAGUGCACAGUGGAUAUCAUUGGUUGUAGGCCCAUUUGAAGUUCUUCCUGACAAGAAUGGAAUAAGUGUAUCCCACAUGUGUUUAUCUUCGACUUUGUCAAAGCUCGAUAACACCAUCUCAUUCUUUCACGAUGCUUACAGCUGUUACGAAGAUUAUCUCGCGGCAUCAUUUCCCUUUGGUUUAUACAAGCAAAUUUUUCUUCCAUCUGAAAUGGUAGUAUCGCCAACAAGCUUUGGAGCCUCCACAUGCAUCUUCAGUGCAGAUAUCUUAAAUGAUGAAAAAGUUAUAGACCAGAUUAUUGGCACGAGAAUCAAACUAGCAUAUGCUCUUGCAAGGCAGUGGUUUGGCAUAUACACAAGUGCGGAAGAGCCAAAUGAUGACUGGCUACUGGAUGGUUUGGCUGGUUUUCUUACUGACCUUUUUAUCAAGCGUUACCUUGGGAAUAACGAGGCACGCUAUAGGCGUUUCAAGGCCAAUUGCACUGUAUGCCAGUUCGAUGUCAGCGGUGCAACUGCUUUGGGGUCUCCUGAUGCUUCAACUGAUCUGUAUGGAACUCAAACACUUGGCUCAUAUGGGAAAAUUCGUUCAUUGAAGGCAGUGGCUGUUCUUCAAACAUUGGAGAAACAGAUGGGGCCAGACUCUUUUCGAAAGAUUCUGCAGAUGAUAGUUGCUUCGACUCGUGCCUCGAGGACACUAAGUACGAAAGAGUUUAGGCACCUCGCGAAUAAGAUUGGCAAUCUUGAACGCCCAUUCCUCAAAGAAUUCUUUCCACGGUGGAUUGAAUCUUGUGGAUGUCCAAUUAUGAGAUUGGGAAUCUCCUAUAACAAAAGGAGAAAUUUGGUCGAAUUAGCUGUUUCACGGGGUUGUACAGCAAAAGCUGAUCCCGGUUCUGAUAGUCACGUGAAUGGUGAUAUUCAAGAAGGUGCAACUGGAUGGCCAGGAAUGAUGAGUGUACGUGUUCAUGAAACUGAUGGAGUGUAUGAUCAUCCGAUACUGCCAAUGGCUGGUGAAGCAUUGCAGGUGGUGGAAUUACAGUGCCAUUCCAAACUAGCAGCAAAGCGGUUUCAGAAAACCAAAAAGGGCUCCAAGCCUGAUGGUUCUGAUGACAACGUAGAUGCUUCAACUCAAGAGAACCGCACAAGCAUGGAUUCCCCUUUACUAUGGAUCAGAGUGGACCCAGAAAUGGAAUACCUUGCUGAAAUCCAUUUUCACCAGCCUAUUCAGAUGUGGAUCAAUCAAUUGGAGAAGGACAAAGAUGUCAUUUCCCAGUCACAGGCAAUAGCUGUUCUGGAGAAAUUACCCCAGCUCUCUUUUGCUGUGAUUAAUGCCCUCAAUAAUUUCCUAAAUGAUACAAAGGCCUUUUGGAGAGUUAGAGUUGAAGCGGCAUAUGCAUUAGCGGUAACUGCAUCAGAGGAGACAGAUUUAGCUGGGCUGCUUCAUCUGGUUAAAUUCUAUAAAAGCCGCCGGUUUGAUACAGAUAUUGGAUUACCCAGGCCGAACGACUUCCAUGACAUUCCAGAAUACUUUGUUCUUGAGGUAAUGCACUGAGGCAAUUCCUCAUGCAGUAGCUCUUGUUAGAUCAUCAGAUAAGAGCAGCCCGAGACAAGCUAUUGAAUUUAUUCUUCAGCUUCUGAAGUAUAAUGAUAACAACGGAAAUGUAUACUCUGAUGUCUACUGGCUAGCUGCAAUGGUCCAAGCAAUAGGCGAAGUAGAAUUUGGCCAGCAGGGCAUAGGUCUCCUAUCCUCUCUUCUGAAGCGUAUUGACCGACUCCUGCAAUUUGACAACUUUAUGCCUGGUUACAAUGGGGUUUUGACUGUCAGCUGCAUUCGAGCUCUUGCACGUAUAGCGGAGAGGGUAUCAUCUUCCAUUUGCCUUGAUCGUAUUUGUGAAUUGAUUGCCCCUUUCCGUAGCAUGGAUAAACCAUGGAAAGUCCGAAUAGAAGCCAGCAGGGUUCUUCUUGAUCUCGAGCUUCACCAUAAGGGGCUAGAUGCAGCUCUCUUGUUGUUCUUGAAAUAUACAGAUGAAGAAAGAUCUUUGCGAGGUGCGACAAAGUUGGCUGUUCAUGUCUUGCGCAUAUGUCAAGCAAAUGUUGAAUCUAACGUUACUGAUCAGAUAAAAUUGCCAACACUCUUUGGUCUCCUUCACCUGCUCAGUAGCAAAAAAGCAUACAACAAUGUCCUUCUUCGCCAUAAUGUGUUCUGCAUUUUGCAAAUUGCUGCUGGAAGGUCUCCAACACUGUAUGGAGUUCCAAAGUUUGUCGCCCCCUCUCCACUGGUCCAGGAGAUAUCAGUUGAUCAGCAUACUAAAGCUGAUUCCUCGGUUCCUCAACUAUCAAGGCCUCAAGAACCUUCCACUAGCACUCCUAGUGUCCGUGAGGUCUUACCUGCCACUGGACCUUCCAAAGAUGCUGAUAACAUAUCUAACUGCAGUGAGAGAAGGAAUGUUGUCAAAAUUAGGGUUAGGCGUAGUGCAUCAUCCAGUAAAGCAGAUGGUGCUGAUCACCAAGAUCAUUCACAUGGUGGAAGAAAUGAAAACGAAGCGGGUCCUUGUAGUUCUAUGUCGGUGGAUGCCCCUAUGGUUGGAGCGCCAAAUGAGCCACCGACCACAAGUAAUCAUAAUAUUGAGGAGCAGAACUCAUGUCAUGACCGUGAAUCAAGGAUGUCCGCAAGCGUGAGCAACGCCAAAGUAAUGGACACGUAUGAAAUCUCCAAGGAACUACAGUGUACAGCCGAUUCAAGGACAGAUGCUGCUGAUUCAAGGCUAGAUGCGGUUCCCAAGGAUGAGUUCUCUCCUGCCGUCAAUGUGCGGGAAGAUGUGGAUAAGCCUGGCAGUCAGCUUGAAGGAGUAUCCACCAGCUAUGUUGGAACCCAAGCUCCAGACUCCGUCAAUGGUCUGCACUCUAAAGAGAAGAAGAGAAAGGACAAGAAAGAUAAGAAGCGCAACCGAGAUGAAAAACGAGACAAGAAAGAUGACCCCGAGUACCUGGCGAAGAAGCGCCUUAAGAAAGAGAAGAAAAAGAUGGAGAAAGAGUUGGCCCGAAAGCAGAAGGAAGGUGACAGAGCUUCUUCUCAGCAAGAUAUAGUAGUGAAACCCUCUGACUCGCAAGGAACUGUGGCAGCAACGCCACCGGCUCCAGAGCAAAGCGCGGAGCCCCAGGUUUCAAACAAGGAUGCUGCAGUAGACACGGCACGGACGCUGACGCCGCCGCCGACCAAGAAAAUAAAGAUCAAAUUCAAGCCCUUGAAGAAGAUAGGCUAAUAAGCGGAGUUGUAAGUGAUCCUACCUAGACGGUCCUCGCGUCACUGUUUGUGAGGAUUGAAUUGCUGUACAGUAGAAAAGAAACAGGCGAGCGGUAGAUUGUACGAUGAGCGGCCAGAUUUUUUUGUGAAUGGCUAAUGUAUCUUGUAACACAACAACUGCCCCAGUAAUUUCUGGGAGUAAUUCAGAUGAAGCUGUAGGGGUGGGCAACUUAGGGCGAAGGAGAGCGCCCCAUUCUGUGUUAUCUCCAGGUCUUACGAUCCUGGAUGGUGCAGUUCUGUUCAGUUCUGUUACGAAGGCCUUUCACUUGUAUGCUGAUAAAUUUUGCCUGCAUUGCAAUGGUUUGCCAUUUUUUAUUUAA